rnacentral:rRNA from 1 species
UACGUAGGGUGCAAGCGUUGUCCGGAUUUAUUGGGCGUAAAGAGCUCGUAGGCGGUCUGUCGCGUCGGGAGUGAAAACCAGGUGCUUAACACCUGGCUUGCUUUCGAUACGGGCAGACUAGAGGUAUGCAGGGGAGAACGGAAUUCCUGGUGUAGCGGUGAAAUGCGCAGAUAUCAGGAGGAACACCGGUGGCGAAGGCGGUUCUCUGGGCAUGACCUGACGCUGAGGAGCGAAAGUGUGGGGAGCGAACAGG